GGGGAAUCUUCCGCAAUGGACGAAAGUCUGACGGAGCAACGCCGCGUGAGUGAUGACGGCCUUCGGGUUGUAAAGCUCUGUUAAUCGGGACGAAUGGUUCUUGUGCGAAUAGUGCGAGGAUUUGACGGUACCGGAAUAGAAAGCCACGGCUAACUACGUGCCAGCAGCCGCGGUAAUACGUAGGUGGCAAGCGUUGUCCGGAAUUAUUGGGCGUAAAGCGCGCGCAGGCGGAUCAGUCAGUCUGUCUUAAAAGUUCGGGGCUUAACCUCGUGAUGGGAUGGAAACUGCUGAUCUAGAGUAUCGGAGAGGAAAGUGGAAUUCCUAGUGUAGCGGUGAAAUGCGUAGAUAUUAGGAAGAACACCAGUGGCGAAGGCGACUUUCUGGACGAAAACUGACGCUGAGGCGCGAAAGCCAGGGGAGCGAACGGGAUUAGAUACCCCGGUAGUCCUGGCCGUAAACGAUGGGUACUAGGUGUAGGAGGUAUCGACCCCUUCUGUGCCGGAGUUAACGCAAUAAGUACCCCGCCUGGGGAGUACGACCGCAAGGUUG
rnacentral:rRNA from 1 species